rnacentral:misc_RNA from 1 species
UUAACUAUUAUAUAGUACUCAGACAGUAUAGACAAACAGAGUUUAGGUCCUCUGGCAGACGCGAGCCGGCCGGAGCCAGCAGCCCGAGGGCAGGCCUGCCAAAGCAACAAAGGUGUAAUAAACAAAGGGUGGUAUAGAAGACCCCAGCCCAGAGGGCCAGGGGACUAUAACUUUAAUGAUCCUUCCGCAGGUUCACCUACGGAA